GUUUACAUUGCAAUUUUAUUUCAGUGGUGUGCUGUGGUAUGUAUUAUAGAAUAAGUUUGUCUCAAUAAACAAUGAUGAGUGAAAACUGAUUUCGAUUUGUUUUGUACAGUUUCAGGGAUUGUAAAGUAUUUAACAACUCUGUCGGUUGGUAUUCAUGAGUGUGAGCUUAAUACAGCAAUGUUUGAGUAAUACAAAAAAUGUAUGUACUCUUUUGUGGUCGCCAGUUGUCUGUGAUAUGUAUAGUAAAAAAAACACAACACAAAGCUAUGAAGCAUACAAUUGUUUCAAGAUUUUAUCAAUAAUUGUGUACUAUGCAUGUUUUGAUUUAGUUCGUUUCAGAUAUGACAUGACCUGAAUAUUUGACAGUCGAACAGAGCUGAGCAUUGCAGAAAGGUAAGUGUUUUGUUUGAUAUUUACCAUGCAUACUUUGCUUUGCUCUGUUUCAGAUUCACAUGCAGAAAAGGUCUCAUAGUAGCCUCAACUGUGAAUAAGGAUAUCAACUGCUGUGACUAAACUGUUGAAGAAGGGUAAGUGGAACAAUGUGUUUGUUUUAUAAGUACCAUGUAUGCUUUAUUUUGCUCUGUUUCAGAGUAGACAUACAAACAGUGUCUUGCUUUGCAUGCUAUUUUUCAGGUCUCUCAUGCAGUGAGGGAAAAGAAAAAGAUUUCAAUAAAGAAUCACUGCUGCAACUCAGCUCUUUAAACAAGGUAAGUGUUUACUAUGUUGUAUACAAAAUGUUUCUCUUUCUUACUAUGUUUCAGGUUAACAUUGCAGAGAUGUUUUGACAGCUUGUGACAGAAAAGAAUUCAGCAGCUGUGUCUUGACUGUAGCCACAAGGUAAGUCGAAACAAAUAUACUGGUUUGUAUGUUGUGUUGUUAUGCCCUUCUAUGUUUCAGACUUACAUUGCUGUGACUGUUCCACAGUGGGUCAAAAAAAGACGAAUACAGGUUUCAAGAAGAAAAUUGGCUGUUGAAAACCUGCACAAAAUAUGAGGUAAGUAAACUACUCUUUUGGUUUGUUUUGUGCUUUGUUAUGCUUAACUAUUUUUCAGAUUGGAGUGGUGGGUCGUUACAGAGCAGACUUUUGGACAACUGAGAAGUUAAACAACAGAAAAUGAUUCAAGAUCAGCUAGGUAAGUCUGGAUUAUUAUGCAUUGCUAAAUGUUUUUUUUAUUCCAGUAUGGCUGUGGUAAGUACACAAACUUUCUUUAAUUUCCAUAUUGAACUGUUUUUAUGACUUGUAUACUGCUAUGCAAUGCUUAAUGUAUUUUAUAUUUCAGUAGCCUGUUGGUUAGUACACUAACUUUCUAUAAUUUCAUAUUGAACUGUUUUGAUGACUUGUAUACUGCUAUGCAAAAUGUCUGUUUUUCACUUCAGUAUCCUGUGGUAAGUACACUAACUUUCUAUAUUUUCAUAUUGAACUGUUUUGAUGACCUGUAUUUUGCAUUGUAAAAUGUGUUUCUUUUUUAUUUCAGCAUGGCUGUGGUAAGUACAAUUGCCUUCUUUAAUUUUCAUAUUGAACUGUUUUGAUGACUUGUAUACUACUAUGCAAUGCUUAAUGUUUUUUUCAUUUCAGUAUGGCUGUGGUAAGUACAAUUGCCUUUUUUAUUUUUCAUAUUGAACUGUUUUGAUGAUUUGUAUACUGCUAUGCAUUGCUAAAUGUUUUUGUCAUUUCAGUAUAGCUGUGGUAAGUACACUAACUUUCUUUAAUUUUUAUAUUGAACUGUUUUGAUGACCUGUAUUCUGCAUUGUAAAAUGUGUUUCUUUUUCAUUUCAGUUGCCUGUUGGUAAGUACAAUUUGCUUUCUUUAAUUGCAUAUUGAAAUAUAUUUUAUGACUUUUGUUCUGCUAUGCUCUUUUUCAUUUUAGUUGGGCAGAUGUAAGUACACUUCAUGCAUGUAAAAACUGAAUAUGAUUGUUGUGCUAUACAAAAUGUGCUUUUUUCAAUUUCAGUUCAGCAAUGGUAAGUAUAUUGUGUUUCUUUAUGUAUAAUUUUGUAUACAUAUUGUUUUUUUCAUCAUAGCAUGUUUUUUAUAUUUAUGCUUUGUGUAAGUAAAAUGUUCAUAAAUCAUUCUUAUCUUUAAACUAAAAAUGUAUUUUGAUAUGCAAAAUGUCUGUAUGAUUUCAGUUGCCAGAGGUGAGUACCAUAACAGUUGAAAAGUUAGUUUUGUUUAGUUAAAGUUUUGGUUCACAGUUUUGUUUGUUAUUUGGCAAAAUUUACAUGUAUGCAUUGAGUCUUGAUUUCAGCUCGAUUGUGGACUGAAGAAGAUUGCCAGCAGAGGGAUUGGAUACAAAAUACAAACUUUACUGCUGGACGAGUGUUCUCAACUACUAGACGAGUCAGGUUUACUACCAGGCGAGCAGUGACAACAAGGCGCCUUUGUGGAAACAACACAACAAAAAACUCUACUGCAAGACGAGCAGUGACAGCAAGGCGCCUGAACAUGCAACACAAUACAAAAAAUGCCAAUUUGCAAACCUUGAUGUGGACACCGAGUAGUCAAUACAUACGUGUGGCGUAUAGCUGCGACAAAACCGUGGGUCCAUCGCACCGAUGACUUGAACAUUGGCCCGUGUAUGGACAUCAGUGCAACUUUGUGAAUCCAUGUAACUUUGUGAAUCCAUGUAACAUUGCGAAUGUGUGUCGAUCGAAAAAUGUGUACAUUCUGCACUGAAACGAACUCGGUGUUGCAAGUGGCAAGUGUUGACAGUGUGUAUGUUUAUGUUUAUGUUUUUACAUGAAAAAUAAAGGAGAUUGUUCUCCUACCUUUUUUUUUCUUGUUUUAUUGUGCUGGCCAGCAAUAUUGAUGUAUUGAUGUAUGUGUUUGUGUUUAAACUAUGCAAUACCAAAAUCAAACAAAAAAUAAACAUUAACAGUCAUUAACUGUGUUUGGGCGGCCGAGGGGUUUAAGACUCCACAAGUGUGAAGCGCACUGAUAGCACUUGGGGGUAAACACCUCGGUAUUUCGGUGCUAAAAUGUUUUCACGGUGCUUAUUUUGACGCACUGUUAGAACUACCAACCAGUAAAUGAUUGCUUGAUUUAUAAAACAAAUAUUCAGUCUCUACUUUGGCACAAGAGACUCUAAGUAUCAAAUACCAACAAUUUAGACGCAGACAAUCACAUGGUGGUACACCAGUCCGAAUAUACUCAUUGCUCUAGCCAGGAUUGCAAAUUACUUGUGUUGACUAGCAAGGCUCCCUAGUAACGGAGCAGUGUUACUGGCGUUUUUUGGGUCGA